rnacentral:rRNA from 1 species
AUUGAACGCUGGCGGCAGGCCUAACACAUGCAAGUCGAGCGGAUGAAGGGAGCUUGCUCCUGGAUUCAGCGGCGGACGGGUGAGUAAUGCCUAGGAAUCUGCCUGGUAGUGGGGGAUAACGUCCGGAAACGGGCGCUAAUACCGCAUACGUCCUGAGGGAGAAAGUGGGGGAUCUUCGGACCUCACGCUAUCAGAUGAGCCUAGGUCGGAUUAGCUAGUUGGUGGGGUAAAGGCCUACCAAGGCGACGAUCCGUAACUGGUCUGAGAGGAUGAUCAGUCACACUGGAACGGGGACACGGUCCAGAAUCCUACGGGAGGCAGCAGGGGGGAAUAUUGGACAAUGGGCGAAGGCCUGAUCCAGCCAUGCCGCGUGUGUGAAGAAGGUCUUCGGAUUGUAAAGCACUUUAAGUUGGGAGGAAGGGCAGUAAGUUAAUACCUUGCUGUUUUGACGUUACCAACAGAAUAAGCACCGGCUAACUUCGUG